rnacentral:tRNA from 1 species
UGCGGGGUGGAGCAGUCUGGCAGCUUGCUUGGCUCAUAACCAAGAGGACGGAGGUUCAAAUCCUUCCCCCGCUUCCA